rnacentral:rRNA from 1 species
GACAGAGGGUGCAAACGUUGUUCGGAAUUACUGGGCGUAAAGCGCGUGUAGGCGGCCCUGCAAGUCGGAUGUGAAAUCCCACGGCUCAACCGUGGAAGUGCAUUCGAAACUGCAGGGCUAGAGUCCUGGAGAGGAAGGUGGAAUGCUUGGUGUAGAGGUGAAAUUCGUAGAUAUCAAGCGGAACACCGGUGGCGAAGGCGGCCUUCUGGGACAGUGACUGACGCUGAGACGCGGAAAGCGUGGGAGCAACAGGGAUAAGAUACCCGGU